AAAACCUAGGGUCCAUUAACUCGUUCACUCUGAUCUCAUGGACGUCGCCGACCAUCUCUGCUCUUGUGGAUGUCGCCGACUUUCUCCGGCGUCCACUGAAUCCUCCGCUCAGCCAUUUCGAUGCUCUGAUCUCGUGGACAUCUCCCACCAUCUCCAGCAUCCUCCGACUCCUCCCCUCAGCAGUUCCGACCUCAUGGACGUCGCUAACCAUCUCCACUGUCCCCAUCCUAAUCUUUGACUCCACUUUCAUCUUCUCCACCCAAAUCUUCGGCUCUUGCUCUCUUCAACCAGCGAGAUAGUGUUCUCCAACCGGUCCAGUGCUUCCAUAUGGAUAAAGCUCUGGCACAAUCUUUUUGUCUUCCAGUUCCUUUAGCACCGGCGUGAAGAGGGCCCAAGCUGCAUCAAGCUCAUCGCUUCUGAUGAAAAGUCGGUGCUCUCCUUCAAUUGCAUCUAAGAGAAGCCUCUCAUAUGCAUCUGGUAUCUCUGCUGGAUAUCUACAAAGAACACACAUUGAGUAAACCUUUUAUUUAUUUGUUGAUUUUAAGCGUGCACAUCAACUUAUCAUGUAUGUAUUUGAGAAAUAUAUUUGCAUGAAAGAUUUUCUUACAA